ensembl:misc_RNA 7SK 7SK RNA
GGAUGUGAGGGCCAUCUGGAAGAAACAUCUGUCACCGCUUUGAUCACCAAACCUGAUUCAGAUGAUCUGGCUGACCAAGCUGGUAUCCCCUUCCUCCCUCACCGUUCCAUGUGCAUCCCUCCCAAAGCUGCAUACUCCAUCAAAGAGGACGACUACCCCCAGUAGAGAAGGACAGUUUCCUCGGUCAAGGUAUACAAGUAGCUGCACUCCCUUAUUAGGACCUCCAAACAAUCUCUCGUGGACCAUUUCCCAAAGCAUUAGCAAACAACAACAACAACAACAAAAUACAGCUAGCAUUUUAUUAUAGAAGCUAUAAUACAGGUUUUC